rnacentral:misc_RNA from 1 species
GUUUGGCUUCAGAACAACAAUUCUUGUUGGUAGAAUAUUUUCCUCCUUCCCUUCAGAAAGAACUGGUGAGGACUUUUGGGAAUUAUGUCCACUAUGACGAUGUUGUGACUGGAGUAAGAGACCAUCAAGGCGCUCUUUCUGUAAGCUGAUGCUUUUUUUACAUGAACCGCCUCUAACAGAUUUGGAGGAUUUGGCACUGCCUUCAUAUUUCACAGAAUUUGAUGGCUUCAAAAC